GAUAAACGCUGGCGGCGUGCAUGAGACAUGCAAGUCGAACGAAGGAUCGGGCUUGCUCGAUCCUUAGUGGCGGACGGCUGAGUAACGCGUAGGUGACCUACCCCGAAGUGGGGAAUAACUGCCCGAAAGGGUGGCUAAUACCGCAUGUGGUCGCACGUUCAUUCGUGCGAGUAAAGCCGCAAGGCGCUUCGGGAGGGGCCUGCGUCCGAUUAGCUCGUUGGUUGGGUAAUGGCUUACCAAGGCGACGAUCGGUAGGUGGUCUGAGAGGACGAUCACCCAGACUGGGACUGAGACACGGCCCAGACUCCUACGGGAGGCAGCAGUCGGGAAUUUUGCUCAAUGGGGGAAACCCUAAAGCAGCAACGCCGCGUGAGGGAUGAAGGCCUUCGGGUUGUAAACCUCUUUUGUCAGGGACGAUGAUGACGGUACCUGGCGAAUAAGCCACGGCUAACUACGUG
rnacentral:rRNA from 1 species